UACGGGGGAUCCAAGCGUUAUCCGGAAUAACUGGGCGUAAAGCGUUGCGUAGGCGGCAUGUCAAGCGAAGUGUGAAAUCAUGUGGCUCAACCAUGUGGCUAUGCUUUGAACUGGCAAGCUAGAGAGUGAGAGAGGUUACUGGAAUUACUAGUGUAGGAGUGAAAUCCGUAGAUAUUAGUAGGAACACCGAUGGCGUAGGCAGGUAACUGGCUCAUUUCUGACGCUCAGGCACGAAAGCGUGGGGAGCAAACGGG
rnacentral:rRNA from 1 species